GUCUUUAUCCCGGCAGCCACAGAGGCGAAGCGACACUGCUGCAGCGGAAUGAUGAUGAUGGCGGUGGUGGUGACUGUGUGUCUUUUUAACGGAGCAACACGUAAAGCACUGCCACAAAACGCACUCCGCCGGAUGUUGCGUCAGGUGAUUCAUGGCCGCCUCGAGAGCCUGAAGCUGAGCCAGUGUCGAUUCGAGUUUGUCUUCGCCGCCCCUGAUGGAUGGCGCCUCAAGGACCUUCUCUUCCUCUUCCUCUUCCUGCUCUUUUGCUGCAGGUGCUGCUUUCCCGAGGUGACCAACAGAUGGCUUCGCUUCCACCCCCGCCGCCUCUUUCCACCUCAGCGCCUGCCCUUCCAUCACCACCUUAGACAGCCAGGGAGGAGGGGAAACUGUCAUCUUGUGGGCCGAUACAUCGCACUCUUCCCCCCUUCUUCCCGUGUUCCUCUGAUCGUGGGGACGCACCUUGCCCUUACCCGGAAGACAGAGAUCGUGCCCAGUGCCGCUGUGUCAGUCAGAGAUCAGAGGUGCAAGUCGUCCAGGUGUUGCAGGUGUUUACGUUUUCAAGGAAAGAGCGGAGAAAGGUCUCAGUCCUGGCGAAGGGAACAGCCAGCUGUGCACUCCUCGUGUGAGCGUCCCUGGUGGAGUGAGGAUGAGGCGUCGCCCACGGCUGCCGGAGUAAAGCAAGGGACCCACCGGCAAUAUGGCCGCUGUCACUCACGCCUCGGAUAAACAAGAAAGAACUUUUGCCCCGUCGGCGAAGGUUCCUCUCACGGGCGGAGGAGGACGGUCGCUUGCGCCGCCCCGAGCUCCGCCGCUCACCCCGCCCACCGCCCACGCCCACGCUGACGUCAUCGCUCACGGAGGAAGAAUCUGUGACGUCACCGCUUCCAGCCCCGCCC